GUACCUAUACUUUCAGGAUCAUUUCUACAAUGUGAAAGUUGAGAAUUGUGCUCAAAAGUGAUUGGCUCAAAAAUGAACCAUGAGGAGGAGUCAAGUGGGCAGCAUUACAUUUCUGGAGCUGCUGCCUGUUAUUGAUAACUGUUGUGUCUUCUUUUUAUUAAGGAGAGUGGAGGGAGAGAACACAGACUGAGUGGU